UACCUCAUCAACCAGAAGGAUUUCCUUCUGGUCAAUGAGGUUGUUAUACCUCAUCAACCAGAAGGAUUUCCUUCUGGUUGAUGAGGUU
rnacentral:miRNA from 1 species